rnacentral:tmRNA from 1 species
GGGGACGAUAUGGCUUCGACGCCGGAUGCGAAACCUUGGGUGCAUGCCGAGAUGGCAGCGAAUCUCGUUAAUCGAAAGCUGCUUUAAAAUAGUCGCAAACGACGACAACUACGCACUGGCGGCGUAAAGCCGCUGGUCGUCCUGACUGGGGUGCCUGUUCCCCAGACUUUCAGGACGUCAUAGCAAACAGGAUGCGCUUUCAGUCAGAGCUCACUGACUGAGGGCAAAGACCCAAAGAGCUCGCCUCCUGCACCCUGACCUUCGGGUCGCUUGAGGUUAAACGAAUAGAAGGACACUAAGCAUGUAGAUCUCAAGGCGGAGUACUGGCGGACGCGGGUUCGAUUCCCGCCGUCUCCACCA